GCACGAUGCAAGAGCCU
rnacentral:misc_RNA from 1 species